AAAAUAAAUGAUGGGUGAUAAAACCUAUUGCAAGUCUUCUGUUUUUAUGGGCUUCUAUGUCAUUUUUCAGGUUUCAUUGCAAUCAUAAUCUGGCAUAAUUAUAAACAUUAGAUAUAUCUGUAUGAAUAAAUUGGUAAACUUUGACUCAAUGUGAUCUGAAAUGCUUGAACAGUAAUAUUAAAUAAUAGUAAUAUACAUUUUUUCUAGAUGAAUCCCUCAACAAGCCCAUAAACUGUAAUGUUUUAGUCUUUACUGAGCUCAUUAGUGGUCUUCCGGUGACAUCUAGUGGUUAUAAUUGCAAUUUUUUAUUCAACACUGGGUUUUGAAGCUUUAUAAAUAUUACAGUGUUCUUUUUUUACCUAAUAUCUGUUAAAUUUUGCAUGAUUGUUUAGAAAAAAUACAGAUCUAAUGCAUGUGUGAUUAUAUUACCCCCUUUUUUUUUUGCAGUUUAAUGCCAUUCACAACAGAAAUCUUUUGUUUUUUAGGCCUGUUUAAAUGUUAUCUAACCAAAGGACAAAAUACAACAUAUUUUUUCAAAGUUAUUGAUCUAGAGAGUCCUGAGAAUAUUACUGCAGUGGUUUGAUCAAGACUGAACAAAAAACCAGGUGACCCAAAACAUUCAAAUUCGUGGACCAAUUUUAUGAAAAAGGCUAUAACUCGGGAACAAAAUGAGAUAUCUUCACCAAACUCAGAACUCAUAUGCAUGAACAAAAACUUUAGUCAAAUUAUUAUUUUUUUUCCAUAUCUGCCACUUGGUGGCGCUACAGGAUGAAAAAAAAUCAAAUGGCUAUAACUAAGCAACAGUUGAUCCAAUCAACUUGAAAAUUGAUAUGGCCCAAUGUGGCACAAGUGCUCUAUGAGGAAUUUCACUUAUCUUAAAAAACAUGGCCGCCAUUGGCCAAACAACUUUAAGAACCUAUUUGACAAGGUUAAUAGAAGUCGAUCGGAACGAAACUCGGUGGGCAUGUUCGACUCAUUGCCCUAAAGGUCUGUAAGUAUUUUGAAAGAAAUUGCCCACAACAUUGUCACCUCCCACAGAACACAACAAAGCGAUUUGAUUACAGCGCCACCUAUUUUCCAAAAAUGAUAAUGCAUCAUUUUACUGGAGUUUUACUGGCUGUUUCAAUUACACUCUUCCAAUAAUUGCUUUUCUUACUCGUUGCAUUUGGUCUGAUGCUCCAUGCCAUGCUUAGCUCCUCGCUGUGGAACUUUUAUUAACGAUUUUCAGCCAUUUCAAUUACAAUCAUGCAAUUAUUAAUUUCAUUAUUCAUUGUUGCAUUUGGUCUGAUGCUACAUAUGCUUAGCUCCUGAUGUUGCCGCUGGAAUGCUUGGCCCCGUGAUUGCUGCUUGCAGCUAUAUUUAGGGGCCAAGCACCGAAGGUGCGAAGGCACCUAUUGUGUUUGUUGGCGUUAUUAGGGGCCAAGCACCGAAGGUGCGAGGCACCUAUUGUUUUUGUUGGCGUUCUUAUUAUUAUUAUUAUUAUUAUUAUUAUUCUUCCGACUGGGAGUCUAUGGCAGCCCAUAGAACCAAAUGCGGGAAAGUUGUAAUGGUUUGACAUUCUGAUAGAGGACAGUGCCAACAUUAAGUACACCAAUUUUGGUGGGUCUAAUACAUUGCCUCUAGCGCCACCAACUGUCCAAAGUUUCACUUUUAUUUUGUUAAUAACUUUUUAACCCUAAGGCCAAUCAACAAAAAUCUUUUUUCCUCUGAUUUCUGAGCUUAUGCCGAUUCGAUUGCAUCCUAUGACGUCAUUUUCUGUCAUAGAAAUAUGGCCGCCAUUUUGAAUUUUUUAAAAAACCUACUUUUUCGAACUCGUCCUAGACGGUUUGUCCGAUUCACACGAAAAUUGAACCAGAUUAUCUUCAGGCAGUGCUGACCAAAAGUUAUGCAAAUCAAAUUGAUUCGUCAAACUGUUUUCGAUAAACGCUCAAACAAAUUUUACGUAACGCUUACAAAAACAGUCGCAAGGCUGUAUCUCUGCAACGAUUUAUCGUAUUCAGACCAAACCUGGUACA